AGUAACACAGUGCACGGAUGAGACAUGGAUAGCCAACACAAACAGCAAGGAGAGAGAGGUAUUCAUGGAAAUAUCCUUAUAAGUAGCUAGUCAAAAUAGAGAGAUUUGUGUAGAGAAAAAGAAGCUUUGUGAGAGGAGCGUUAAACUCAAGUAACUAGCUAGAAGAAAAUCAAGGGGAGGUUCUGCUUUUAGCAGAGUCAAAAGGUGAUCUAUUGGCAAGAAAAACAGUGAUCUAAUCAAAUGUAUUUUCCUAAGCGAGGUACAAACAAUUAUUGCUGAGGUGGAGGGCAUAGGCCGUUAAGCGGUGCUGUAGGAGCCAUGAGAGUGUUAACCUAAAAUUGUCAGGGUUUGAAAAGACACUUGGCAUUCCAACAUUUGAAAGGGAUGUGUAAAUCCCACUCCCUCGAGGUUAGUUUUCUCUGUGAAACCAAAAACCAACCUUGACAAAUGGAAAGUAAGCUGAGGGCAUGCGGAUUUAUUAAAUGGUUUCUUUGUAAUCCAUCAGAGACUACGGGAGGACUUGCAUUGGCAUGGAAGGAAUGGAUAGAGGUGACGGUGAUGGAUUCGGAUGAUUUUUUUUAUUACUGCCAGAGUUAAUGAUGCAUCUAAAUAAGAGGAGUGGGGGCUAAUAUGGGUUCAUCUUAGUUGUUCAGAGCCUAACCAAUUGGAACAAUUCCAGAAAUUACCAAUAGUGUUGUAACAGUUUUAAGGUAAAGCUUUUAUUCUUGGUGAUUUCAAUCCUAUUAAAAGUCUCCAAGAAAAGGAGGGUGGAAACAUAGCUUCGGGAUCAUCAAUGGUAGCUUUCAAUAAUUUCAUUAAUGGGAACAACUUGUUGGACCUUGAAAUGGUAGGGAGACUUCGAUUAGAGCAAGCUUACUAUUUGCUGACAACUUUAUCCUAUUCUGUAAAGCAUCCGUCUACACUUGCCAUAAAAUUUUGGAACUAUUGGAGAAAUAUGAACAAGUUAGUGGUUAGAAAGUCAACCUUAGCAAGUCUGCCGUCUUUUUCAGAAAUAAUACUCCCCCAAGUACUAGAGCUACAAUAGCCAAAUGCCUAAAUAUUAGGCAUAUAGGAGCUCAGGAAUAAUAUUUAGGACUACUAUCCAAUGUACAAAAAUCGAAGAAAUCUACCUUUGGAAUGAUUAAAGACAAAGUGUGCAAAAGAGUUGAAGGGUGGAAAC